UCAUCCCCCUUUUAUAUUUAAAAGUCUCUUGAACAGCUUGUCUCCUUAAACUCAAAAAAAAAAAAAAAUCAGGUCUCUCUAUGCGAGGAAAGUUGCAAGGACUGUCUGAAUCAUGGAACUGCUAGUUUUCUGACAACCUUCUUAUCUCAGAGGAUCAACCACAAUAUAAUCUACGAUGAAAUAUCUAGUAUAUCCC
rnacentral:lncRNA from 1 species